UACGACCACAUCACCUUGAACCACCGAUUCCCCUAAGUUAAGCAACGUCGAGCCUGGUCAGUACUUAGAUGGGUGACUGCUUGGAAAUACCAGAUGCUGUAA